rnacentral:rRNA from 1 species
AUUGAACGCUGGCGGAAUGCUUUACACAUGCAAGUCGAGCGGCAGCGCGGGGCAACCUGGCGGCGAGCGGCGAACGGGUGAGUAAUACAUCGGAACGUGCCCAGACGUGGGGGAUAACUACUCGAAAGAGUGGCUAAUACCGCAUACGAUCUACGGAUGAAAGCGGGGGAUCGCAAGACCUCGCGCGUCUGGAGCGGCUGAUGGCAGAUUAGGUAGUUGGUGGGAUAAAAGCCUACCAAGCCAACGAUCUGUAGCUGGUCUGAGAGGAUGAUCAGCCACACUGGGACUGAGACACGGCCCAGACUCCUACGGGAGGCAGCAGUGGGGAAUUUUGGACAAUGGGCGAAAGCCUGAUCCAGCCAUUCCGCGUGCAGGAUGACGGCCCUACGGGUUGUAAACUGCUUUUCCCCGGGGCGAAUAACCCCCUCGCGAGGGGGGAUGCCGGUACCGGGGGAAUAAGGAUCGGCUAACUCCGUG